GGGGACGCGUGGAUUCGACAGGGGGAGUAUGCUACAGGAUUGCAGGCUGAGGUACCGCUACCCUCAUUAAACAAGCGGUAAAAAAUAACUGGCGAAGAACCAGUAUUAGUUGCUGCCUAAUUAAUUAGGUAGCACAUCCAGCCCGACCUCGCCUCAAUGGGUCGGGAUUGGGUGCCGUUAAGUUGGGGUGCCGUCACCCGGACGUCGAUAGGGGUGGUGAAAGAAUUAUCGGCUGGUCUGGCUAAACUCGGUCAGCAGAGGUUAGCCCAGCAAGAUAAAAGAGCUGACUAAGCCUGUAGGAUAUUCUGGGUAGCUUCUCUUGGACGGGGAGUUCGACUCUCCCCCGUCUCCACCA
rnacentral:tmRNA from 1 species